CCCAGGGAGCAGGUGGAGGUGGAGGAGAAGGAAGGCGACGAAGAGGAGGAGGAGGAGGAGGAGGAGGAGGAGGAGAGCCUCGGGCACGGGCACAGAGGCGACCACGGCCGCUAGUCUGGCUGCAGCAACUGCUGAGUCUCCGAGUUGGAAGGGGUCAUCUCGUCUAGUCCUUCCUUAAGCAGGAAUACUCUCGACAUCAUCCCUGGUGAAUGGUUAUCCAGCCUCUGCAUAAAGACCUCCAGGGAUGGGGAUCCCACUACCUCCUGAGGCAGCCUAAUCUAUUUUUGGACAGCCCUGAUUGUCAGGCUUCCUUCUUUAGAGCCAAAAUCUGCCUCUGUGCAGAGGCUGUUGCUCUUCGUGCUGCCCUUGGUGCCAAGUAAAGCAAGUGUGUCGCCCCUGCCCCCCAACAUGGCAGCCCUUCGAACGCUUGAAGGGAGCUUUCAUGUUCCCCCUACCCGUCCCAUGCCUUGCAGCCCCCGCAAGUCUCUUCUCAAGCAGUAAGCUUUUGGCUUUCCCAUGCCCACCUCCUUCCCACUGCUUGGCCCUUCUGCUGUCUGAGGGAAGGGACCGCAUUUUCCCCUUUUAUAGCCUCUACAGUCCCUAGUACAGCACUGGGGACCUAGUAUGUGCUUACUACGUACUUGUGGCAAACGCAUCAUUCCUUUUGAGCCAGUGAUCCCAUUGCUGGGAGUGCAUCCUAAAGAUAUAAUGAAAAGAAAAAAAAAAGGACCUAG